CCCAUUUUACAGAUGAUGAAGCAAGACACAGAGAGGCCAUUUGUCCCAAAUCCAGUGAAGAAGGAGAACUGGGGUUUGACCUGGGGCUUCUGAUGCCUAAUCUGUGUUACUCGAGGCCAUGUGCAUUUGUCCUUGUGCCACGGGGCUGGGACCUGCCUGCCUCUGCCGACACCGAGUGGUUAUACAGUGUGCCAGGACCAGCACUGGCAGGAACCCCGCCGGGUGGUCAGGGCCGCUGGGCUUCCUCUCGACGUUUCCCUACUGGUGGAGCCUCCGGCCUCCCCUCCACCUGCCCUGUUGGCUCUAACUGAACUGUUCCCAGCGCCUGGGGAAUAGGGACCGCCCCUGAGCACGGCCAUAGCCCGGCCACUGGAACCCCACCCAGGCCCCCGAGCAUGGGAGAGAUCAGUUUGUAGACCUCCUUCGGGUUCCCCAGGUCUUUCCUUUUGCUGGGUGGCUCUGAGGUCAACAUCAUGGUGAGUCCCAGCAGGUACACCCCCGAGUCCUAAGACUGGAGUCUGAGAGGGAAGAUCGUGGUAACCAGAGUCAUUGUGAUGAAUGCACGGUUACAAAUGGAGGAGAACAAACCCAGGCAAACCUCCCUAACAACAAGACAGAUGGCCCAAUUACCUCUGUCACACUGGCUGAUGGAAGGACAACUACCAGAUAUGCAACCAAACAUCUUAGAACAGCGACCCCCAGGUAUGUGGCCAGAGGAGCUCAGGAGCCCGAGCCAGUUCAACCAAGAUCAGCCGAGCCUGCCCCAGAGGAGCAGAGCGGUUCAUCCAGCAAUAGCCAACACUUACUGCUUAAAGCAAGCAUUGGCCAACAGCGGCCUGUUGGCCACCUGUUUUUAUUUUACCUAAAGUUUUAUUAAAAUGCAGCCAUACCAUUUA